UACGUAGGGGCCUAGCGUUGUCCGGAAUUAUUGGGCGUAAAGAUCUCGUCGGCGGUUCGGCAAGUCGGAUGUGAAAUCUCCACGCUCAACGUGGAGGGGCCAUUCGAAACUGCCGUGACUCGAGUCCGGUAGGGGAGUGUGGAAUUCCCGGUGUAGCGGUGAAAUGCGCAGAUAUCGGGAGGAACACCAGUAGCGAAGGCGGCACUCUGGGCCGGUACUGACGCUGAGGAGCGAAAGCGUGGGGAGCGAACAGG
rnacentral:rRNA from 1 species